rnacentral:tRNA from 1 species
GCACCCGUAGCUCAGCUGGAUAGAGUGCUGCCCUCCGAAGGCAGAGGUCGCGCGUUCGAAUCGCGCCGGGUGCGCCA